rnacentral:rRNA from 1 species
AGGGAAUAUUGGACAAUGGGCGAAAGCCUGAUCCAGCAAUGCCGCGUGAGUGAUGAAGGCCUUAGGGUUGUAAAGCUCUUUUACCCGGGAUGAUAAUGACAGUACCGGGAGAAUAAGCUCCGGCUAACUCCGUGCCAGCAGCCGCGGUAAUACGGAGGGAGCUAGCGUUGUUCGGAAUUACUGGGCGUAAAGCGCACGUAGGCGGCUAUUCAAGUCAGAGGUGAAAGCCCGGGGCUCAACCCCGGAACUGCCUUUGAAACUAGAUAGCUUGAAUCCAGGAGAGGUGAGUGGAAUUCCGAGUGUAGAGGUGAAAUUCGUAGAUAUUCGGAAGAACACCAGUGGCGAAGGCGGCUCACUGGACUGGUAUUGACGCUGAGGUGCGAAAGCGUGGGGAGCAAAC